rnacentral:rRNA from 1 species
UGCUGGAGGUAUCAGAAGUGCGAAUGCUGACAUAAGUAACGAUAAAGCGGGUGAAAAGCCCGCUCGCCGGAAGACCAAGGGUUCCUGUCCAACGUUAAUCGGGGCAGGGUGAGUCGACCCCUAAGGCGAGGCCGAAAGGCGUAGUCGAUGGGAAACAGGUUAAUAUUCCUGUACUUGGUGUUACUGCGAAGGGGGGACGGAGAAGGCUAUGUUGGCCGGGCGACGGUUGUCCCGGUUUAAGCGUGUAGGCUGGUUUUCCAGGCAAAUCCGGAAAAUCAAGGCUGAGGCGUGAUGACGAGGCACUACGGUGCUGAAGCAACAAAUGCCCUGCUUCCAGGAAAAGCCUCUAAGCAUCAGGUAACAUCAAAUCGUACCCCAAACCGACACAGGUGGUCAGGUAGAGAAUACCAAGGCGCUUGAGAGAACUCGGGUGAAGGAACUAGGCAAAAUGGUGCCGUAACUUCGGGAGAAGGCACGCUGAUAUGUAGGUGAAGCGACUUGCUCGUGGAGCUGAAAUCAGUCGAAGAUACCAGCUGGCUGCAACUGUUUAUUAAAAACACAGCACUGUGCAAACACGAAAGUGGACGUAUACGGUGUGACGCCUGCCCGGUGCCGGAAGGUUAAUUGAUGGGGUUAGCGGUAACGCGAAGCUCUUGAUCGAAGCCCCGGUAAACGGCGGCCGUAACUAUAACGGUCCUAAGGUAGCGAAAUUCCUUGUCGGGUAAGUUCCGACCUGCACGAAUGGCGUAAUGAUGGCCAGGCUGUCUCCGCCCGAGACUCAGUGAAAUUGAACUCGCUGUGAAGAUGCAGUGUACCCGCGGCAAGACGGAAAGACCCCGUGAACCUUUACUAUAGCUUGACACUGAACAUUGAGCCUUGAUGUGUAGGAUAGGUGGGAGGCUUUGAAGUGUGGACGCCAGUCUGCAUGGAGCCGACCUUGAAAUACCACCCUUUAAUGUUUGAUGUUCUAACGUUGGCCCGUAAUCCGGGUUGCGGACAGUGUCUGGUGGGUAGUUUGACUGGGGCGGUCUCCUCCUAAAGAGUAACGGAGGAGCACGAAGGUUGGCUAAUCCUGGUCGGACAUCAGGAGGUUAGUGCAAUGGCAUAAGCCAGCUUGACUGCGAGCGUGACGGCGCGAGCAGGUGCGAAAGCAGGUCAUAGUGAUCCGGUGGUUCUGAAUGGAAGGGCCAUCGCUCAACGGAUAAAAGGUACUCCGGGGAUAACAGGCUGAUACCGCCCAAGAGUUCAUAUCGACGGCGGUGUUUGGCACCUCGAUGUCGGCUCAUCACAUCCUGGGGCUGAAGUAGGUCCCAAGGGUAUGGCUGUUCGCCAUUUAAAGUGGUACGCGAGCUGGGUUUAGAACGUCGUGAGACAGUUCGGUCCCUAUCUGCCGUGGGCGCUGGAGAACUGAGGGGGGCUGCUCCUAGUACGAGAGGACCGGAGUGGACGCAUCACUGGUGUUCGGGUUGUCAUGCCAAUGGCACUGCCCGGUAGCUAAAUGCGGAAGAGAUAAGUGCUGAAAGCAUCUAAGCACGAAACUUGCCCCGAGAUGAGUUCUCCCUGAGACUUUAAGUCUCCUGAAGGAACGUUGAAGACGACGACGUUGAUAGGCCGGGUGUGUAAGCGCAGCGAUGCGUUGAGCUAACCGGUACUAAUGAACCGUGAGGCUUAACCUU